UCCUACGGGAGGCAGCAGUGAGGAAUAUUGGGCAAUGGAGGCAACUCUGACCCAGCCAUGCCGCGUGCAGGAAGACUGCCCUAUGGGUUGUAAACUGCUUUUAUACAGGAAGAAACACUGCUACGUGUAGCAGCUUGACGGUACUGUAAGAAUAAGCACCGGCUAACUCCGUGCCAGCAGCCGCGGUAAU
rnacentral:rRNA from 1 species